GGGUGCCCUUCGGGGAGCCGUGAGACAGGUGCUGCAUGGCUGUCGUCAGCUCGUGUCGUGAGAUGUUGGGUUAAGUCCCGCAACGAGCGCAACCCUUAUUGUUAGUUGCUACCAUUUAGUUGAGCACUCUAGCGAGACUGCCCGGGUUAACCGGGAGGAAGGUGGGGAUGACGUCAAACCAUCAAGCCCCUUAUGUCUAGGGCUACACACGUGCUACAAUGGCUGGUACAGAGAGAUGCUAAACCGCGAGGUGGAGCCGAACUUUAAAACCAGUCUCAGUUCGGAUUGUAGGCUGAAACUCGCCUACAUGAAGCUGGAGUUGCUAGUAAUCGCGAAUCAGAAUGUCGCGGUGAAUACGUUCCCGGGCCUU
rnacentral:rRNA from 1 species